rnacentral:misc_RNA from 1 species
GGAAGUAAAAGUCGUAACAAAGUUUCCGUAGGUGAACCUGCGGAAGGAUCAUUAUCGUACAAGAUGUGAGGGCAUGCGAGGGCUGUCGCUGACCCAAAAGUCGUGCAUGCCCGAGUGUGUCCUCUUGCAUAAUAAUCCAUCUCACCCUUUGUGCAUCACCGCGUGGGCACCCUUCGGGAUCAUCUCGGAGGGGGGCUCGCGCUUUCACACAAACCCCCCUUUUAAAAGUGUAGAAUGACCACAUUUAUGCAAUCAAUACAACUUUCAACAACGGAUCUCUUGGCUCUC